AUAACCUCCAGGUGUCGCUGCCAAUUCAGCGACCGGGUUUAGCGACCUGAACA
rnacentral:ncRNA from 1 species